GAUGAACGCUGGCGGCGUGCUUAACACAUGCAAGUCGAACGGUGAACACGGAGCUUGCUCUGUGGGAUCAGUGGCGAACGGGUGAGUAACACGUGAGCAACCUGCCCCUGACUCUGGGAUAAGCGCUGGAAACGGCGUCUAAUACUGGAUAUGUGACGUGACCGCAUGGUCUGCGUCUGGAAAGAAUUUCGGUUGGGGAUGGGCUCGCGGCCUAUCAGCUUGUUGGUGAGGUAAUGGCUCACCAAGGCGUCGACGGGUAGCCGGCCUGAGAGGGUGACCGGCCACACUGGGACUGAGACACGGCCCAGACUCCUACGGGAGGCAGCAGUGGGGAAUAUUGCACAAUGGGCGCAAGCCUGAUGCAGCAACGCCGCGUGAGGGACGACGGCCUUCGGGUUGUAAACCUCUUUUAGCAGGGAAGAAGCGAAAGUGACGGUACCUGCAGAAAAAGCGCCGGCUAACUACGUGCCAGCAGCCGCCGUAACAC
rnacentral:rRNA from 1 species